rnacentral:tRNA from 1 species
CACUAGAUGGCUGAAAGUAAGUAAUGGUCUCUUAAACCAAUUUAUAGUAAAUUGACGUCUACUUC